rnacentral:rRNA from 1 species
AACGAACGCUGGCGGCACGUCUAACCCAUGCAAGUCGAACGGCAGGCAGCAAUGCCGUGAUCGGCGGCCUGGUGAGUAACACGGGGUUAACGUUCCCCGAUGUCCGGCACAGCCUGUGGGGAUAGCUGGUAAUAACGGAUAGAUCACUGUUUAAGUGAGGUAGACAGCAGGAAAGGAGCUUCCGCUCCGCUACGCGUUGGGUCUGCCGCGCUGCAGUUAGCUGGAAGGUGGGGUAACGGCCCUCCCAGGCGACGAUCGCCAGCCGGUCUGAGAGGAUGAACGGACACACUGGGACUGAGACACGGUCCAGACUCCUACGGGAGGCAGCAGUGAAGAAUAUUGCGCAAUGGGCGGAAGCCUGAUGGAGCGAUGCCGCGUGAACGAAGAAGGCCGUAAGGUUGUAAAGUACUUUUCGGGCCGAGGAAGAAAGUACGGAGGAAAUGUCGGGACAUUGACGGUAGGGGAAGAAUAAGCACCGGCUAACUACGUG